CCUACGGGUGGCAGCAGUGAGGAAUAUUGGUCAAUGGCCGAGAGGCUGAACCAGCCAAGUCGCGUGAGGGAAGACGGCCCUACGGGUUGUAAACCUCUUUUGUCGGGGAGUAAAGUGAGUCACGUGUGCCUCAUUGAGAGUACUCGAAGAAAAAGCAUCGGCUAACUCCGUGCCAGCAGCCGCGGUAAUACGGAGGAUGCGAGCGUUAUCCGGAUUUAUUGGGUUUAAAGGGUGCGCAGACGGGUGGGUAAGUCAGGCGUGAAAUUUUGCGGCCCAACCCCCUUAUUGCAUUUGAAACUGCAUCCCUUGAGUGCGCUAGAGGUAGGCGGAAUGCGUGGUGUAGCGGUGAAAUGCAUAGAUAUCACGCAGAACUCCGAUUGCGAAGGCAGCAUACCGGCGCGCAACUGACGCUCAUGCACGAAAGCGUGGGUAUCGAACAGGAUUAGAUACCCGAGUAGUC
rnacentral:rRNA from 1 species